AUGGCGACGGCGACGGCGAGGCGGCCCAGCGGCCCGGUCCUGUCGAUUCCCAGCUACCGCUCCGCCUCGCCCACCCGCGUCAAGCUCCCCGCCGGUGGCGCUACACGCUCGCCGGGCAAGUCCGUCAGCGUUUCGUCCUCCUCCUCUGCCCCUGCCGGUGCCGCCAGCAAGAGCCGUCGGUCCUGCAUGUGCUCCCCGACGAACCACCCGGGCUCUUUCCGGUGCAGCCUCCACAAAGACCGCAAGCAGGCGGCUCCAUCUUGCAACAGCAAGCCCGGCUGCCCGCCGUCCAUCGGCAGCGCCGGCUCGAAGCAGAUGGGCAGCGCAUUGGUGCGGCUUGUCCCCAUGGAGAGUGGGCACUGGGCACGCAGGGCGCUCGCGCCGUCCCCCGCAGCGCAGCGGAAACGCGUGGGCGGGUUGCGCCUCCGUCCGAGCAGGCUCUCCGCUGUGUCCAUGGCCGGCGACCGCGCCGGCGACAACCACCGGUAG
rnacentral:rRNA from 1 species